UUCGCUUUGCUUGUUUUCCCGUGUCGAUGGAUUCCCUAUUAGCCAACUACGCCUCCGACGGCGACGAUGACGAGGGAGUCGAUGAUGAUAAGGCCUCCGACGGCGACGCCCCCGCUGCGAAGUCUCUCCAACUCCCUCUUCCCAAGCCUUCCUCCUCCCUCUUCUCUUCCUCUCUCCCUCCUCCCAAGUCUUCCGCGGCUCUCCUUUCCUCUUCUCUCUUCUCUUCCCUACCGGCGCCCAAAUCCAUCUCUUCCAUGCCAUCUUCGGCUCCCCAAAACCCUUCCCGCCCCAAAUCUGUCCAUCUCGGUGGAGUAGAUGGCGAGGAGGAGGAGGAAGGUGGAAUCCUUACCGCGGGUACGCCUUCUUCUACUCCCUUCCGAGCUCAAAGCUCGAUGUUCUCCGCUCUUCCUCCGCCCAAGCCCUCCUCUUAUUCCCGGCGCAAAGCCAGCCAUGUCGAAGCAGAAAACGGCGAGGAAGAAGAGAAAGGAGGGAUUUUUACCGCCGAUAUGCCCUCAUCUACCCCUGUAAUGGCGCAUAAAUCGAUGUUUUCUGCUCUUCCUCCGCCCAAGGACUCCUCCUCAACCUCCUUGUUUUCCUCCAUUCCUCCUCCCAAGUCCGAGCAGCCAAAUCCCCAGAAGAUCACGAAUCCCCCUUCUUCUGAUCGAAACCCUAAGAGGGUCGUCCAGUUUAAACUUCCUCUGAACCCUUCCAUGCUGAAAAGUAUAGAUUUCGAUGACGACGAUGACGAUGAGGAGGACAAGGAGAGGAGAAACGUCAAGGAUUCCUUUUCAGUUGCCACAAAGGCGUCAUCUUCCGUCUCUUCCAUGCUUCCUGCCCCCAAGAAUACUUUUGGCUUGGCGCGAUCAGCUGCCUCGGCUUCAUCGAGGAGAUCGAUUGUUGAAGCAGAUGUUCCUGCAGGCGAGCAAGGAGGCACUUCUUCGGUGCAGGAAAGUUUUGGUUUUGGGGAUUCCGGGAGUUAUCACGGUGGUUUGGUUGGUGCACCACCGGAAACUGGGACUGAUGGGUCAGGAGAUUUGGGCUUUCCAGGUAGCACCAAUGAUGUUGGUUGGGAUCCGUCAGGGGUGGAGGGAACAAUUUAUUCAGGCUUUGACGAUAGCAGUGCUGCUGCUUAUUGGGAUCCAAGUUAUGGAGGUGCUGUGAAUUACGAGAGUUACGAGGGAAAUUGGUCUGAAGGGACUGCUGCAGUGGUUUCCGAAGCUCCAGACAUGACGAAGAUUGCUGGGAAGAGAGGCAGGAAUGAUAUUCCUACAGAAAUUGUGGAGGUAAAGCAAGAUGAGUUGAUGAAGAAUAGACCCAGGCAGGACCAGAGUAAGCUGACUGGGAUAGCUUUUGGACCGUCUUAUCAGCCGGCUUCUUCAGCCAAGGGAAAACCUUCAAAGCUGCAUAAGAGAAAGCAUCAAAUUGGGUCAUUGUACUUUGACAUGAAGCAGAAGGAGAUGGAACUUGCAGAACGCCGUGCUAAGGGCCUUCUUACAAAAGCAGAAACACAUGCCAAUCACUCUUCCCCAAGUUGGGGUCACUGAAUCCAGAACUUCCCUAAUAAACUGAGUAGGAAAAAUGAACAUGUGAUUUGGUGACACAUGCUUUUCUCCAACAGUUGCUGCUGCUAUAGCCAUUCAGAGAAGCUGCAGAUUAGGUUGGUGACGUGUGGUGGAGUUUGUCUCUGUGGCCUUGGUGGCACACAGGUUUUGGUUCCAUUCAGAUGGCUUUAGAUGUUGAUGGCAGCAGAAAUUGAAUGGCUUCCACUGUUUGCUUGCCUGGUGGGAUCAGGUUAUGAGGCAUUAAUCAAGAGCUAGUUUGGUUAUUUGACAUGUGGAAGAAACUCAAGUUAGUUCUGUCUGCAAUAUGACUUCCAUAUGCCUGCUGAAGUUAAACAGAGUUAGGAUCUGAAUCAUGAUGCAGGAUGGAAUGCCUAUUCAAAAAACCUUCUGGAUCCAAAGAAAUCAGUUAGAAAAAGCUUUCUGGAAUUUUUUUUUUAUGAGCAGCGGAAAUUUAUGGGAGGUGCUGAUUUUGUCUUGAACUGCAGCAGUUUUGUGAUUUGAUAGGGCAGACAUUCCUUAUAUCACAGUUGGUAAACCACUUCCUGGGAGAUGAUGAUUUUUUGUUGAUCUCUUCAUUAAAUUGGAACAAGACAUUUGCAAGCCCUGAAUUAGAGCAGCUUUUGAGUCUUUGUCAAGAGAACACAUGGAAAACAAGACAUGAGAUCUCAUCACCAAACAAGACAUGAUGGCUUGAUGAUUGAUCAAGUGGCAUCUUUGUGAAUGAUUUUAGUCCAUUGAUAGCCAGAAGAUGAUCCAAAUGAUGCAUAAUUGAGCAUGGCAAAUAAUGCCAGCCACUAGGAUUGCUUUGUCUCUAAGCAUACAUGUCCAUGUGCACACUUAUGGAAAGAUAGGGAUUAACAGAUCAAACAUCACAGUGGUCCUGCAAUAACACAGUUGUUUAGAUGAGAUAAUGAUGGCAUGCAAUCCAAGGAUUACUGUCGUGCCAUCGCAGCUUAAGAGUUAUUGGUGCAUCGAGCGUGCCAGCGUAUAACUUUGUUUCCAAUCCUCAACCUGUAAGUCUUUAUUCAUGUUUUGCAGUGUUGAUUACAAUUGCUAAGAUUAUUGUGACACUGAUGGUCAUCCUUCUUUUAUCAUGCUGUAAUAACACUCAUUCUCAUCUCAGUAAUUCAAAUUGGAGAAACCUUUUGUUGUUUCA